rnacentral:rRNA from 5 species
GAGUUUGAUCCUGGCUCAGAUUGAACGCUGGCGGCAUGCCUUACACAUGCAAGUCGAACGGCAGCACGGGAGCUUGCUCCUGGUGGCGAGUGGCGAACGGGUGAGUAAUGCAUCGGAACGUAUCCUGGAGUGGGGGAUAACGUAGCGAAAGUUACGCUAAUACCGCAUAUUCUGUGAGCAGGAAAGCGGGGGACCUUCGGGCCUCGCGCUCUUGGAGCGGCCGAUGUCGGAUUAGCUAGUUGGUGAGGUAAAGGCUCACCAAGGCGACGAUCCGUAGCAGGUCUGAGAGGAUGAUCUGCCACACUGGAACUGAGACACGGUCCAGACUCCUACGGGAGGCAGCAGUGGGAAUUUUGGACAAUGGGGGCAACCCUGAUCCAGCCAUGCCGCGUGAGUGAAGAAGGCCUCGGUUGUAA